CUACAACUUACCAGAUCAAAGCUAAACAUAAGGACUACAUCAUUGAUUUAAAGAAGCAUUCGGGCAUUCAUCCUGGAUCAAUCUUGCUUCGAACAUUUGAUGAUGAUGGACUUGCUGUGCAUAAUGAUCAUGCGCCUGAAAAUUGUCACUACGAAGGAACAGUACGAGGAAUAAAAGAUUCAUCCGUGACUAUCAGUACCUGCAGACGUGGGCUAACGUACGAACAUUUUUUUCUUUGAUUAAAAAUGUCCCUUACCGUUGUUUAUCUAGAAAGGGUACAUUGGAAGCAGAUUAAAACUGCUUUAAACUUUAGGUUUUUUAAGAAUUGUGUUCUGUCAAGUUUCUUUUUUCACAAAUGGAGAAAAUUUAGGAUAAUUAAGGUUUAUUAAAAUAAGAACUGCAUUUUUAGCUUCUAUCUGCACUAAUAAUUGAUGCUUAUCUAUAUAUUGGUUCUCCACUGAUAAAAGUUUAAUUUAGGGGAGGUUUGAAUGACGGUGAACAUUGAUUUGACAUAGAGCCAAAUGUGAGCAGUUUUAUUUAACUUAAAAAAUGUGUGUUUACUAGAUGUAUCGCUAAAAAUUUAUUCUUUUCCUGAAUUAUCUUCACAGGGUGCUGACGGCAGCCAUAAAUUUUACAAUGUUGAUGAUGAAAUUUACAGCAUAAAAAAAAGUUAUUGAAGCGAUCCUACCCUAGUAAGACUGGUUAGAUAGAAUUUCUUGUAUAUAUGAGCAUUGCGACAUUAGUUUUCAUUCC